rnacentral:lncRNA from 1 species
GUUCCCAAACCGGGUCAAGGGGGCGGUGAAGGGGGAGGCUGAGGAAUCAAUCGCCGGAACAGGGUCAGAGGUUUUGGUAACCAUUUCUUAAUUACAAUUAUUUUCAAUUAAUCAUUUGAUUAGACCAGUAAUUGGAUUUUGAAAAUGAAACCUAAGACUAAUUCUAACAUUUUUCUUAGGGUACUAAAUUCAUACUGUAUUUGUGUAGUUGGUUAUUGUAGCUAGCCUAGCCAGUGUUCUGAACUUGUAUGAUACUACAACUUUAAUAACUUUCUUGCAAUUAUUAUGAUCAUUUUUAAAUUUUAUUGAUUUCUUAACUUUGAUCUAAACCAAUUUUGAUGUUUACUUGACCCUCACUACAUAUAGCUAUUAGAUUCUAGAGUUUUAUAUAUACUUGCUUUAAAUUGCAUUGGCAACUACAAUAUUAGGGGUUGUAAGGGUUGUCAGCUAUGAAGCACGUACUCCUCUCAGAUUAGGCGUGUCUCGUGUCAGUGUCCAGUGUCUGUGUCUAUGCAUGUACUUCAUAGGUUAAGCUUAAAAUUGAUGUCAAGUGGAGCAACUGUACUAGUUUACACAUACUUAUUAUUUUAUUUUAAGCAAUUGGGUGUUCAUGAUCUAAUUAGUGUGCAAGAAGAUGCCUUCGGCUUUCGAAUUUCGAUUCACAAAUUGUAAAUUAGACACUCACAUUUCGCUUUGCAUUUUGCUGAUAACUCAAAAUCUCAUAUUAUUCAUGUUGUUUGAAAAAAGACCACAAUACAAUGAAAGAACAAAAGGAUAAAAAAAUUUAAUAAUUUAUGGGUGUAAUUUUUCAUGUUCAAUUCCAUACAUGUGAAAUAAUUUUAUAUUUUUGCAAACCAAAUAUCCGCUUCGCAUCAAUCCUUGUUUUGUCAUAUGAGCCUGGUAUAUAUAGCAUCUGCUGCAGGUACUCAACAUAACAAAAUGGUGAUAGCAAGUCCACUAGUUGCCAACAUCUUUCUCCAUUGCCCUUGGUAAGAUGUUGCACCACUCUGUGAAACAUAAAAUCAUAAGAUUUGGUAUCUCAUGCACAAAGCUCUUUGUAUUUGACACAUAAAUAAUUUAUACGGUCAUUUUCACAAUUUCAAGAUUCAAAAUUUUAAAGUAUUGUUAAAGAUUUAACUAUGUAUAUUUUUGUCCUUUUUGUUUUUGAUAUACACUCAUUACUGAAACUCACAUUGGACCCUGAUUAGUUCAAUUCAAGCCAAGUGGUCUCUUCUUGUUAGGGACAAAUCUCUCUUAGCAUCUAAUAUCUAUAUCUAUAUCUACAAGAUUCAAAUGAAGAUCUUAUAUAAGGAGAACCAAAAUAUUCUCCACUUGAACUAAUCCAAUUUCAUGAUACAUGUCGUAUUCUAUUGACAUUUAUAUAUGUUUGUAUAGGAAAUGGAUUGGGUGCAAUCACACAUUCACAUUGUUGUGAAUCUUGACCAUCCGAUCUUUGAUCAAAUCACAUUUUAACUGCGUGAUUUAUAUCCGUUUUGCAAAAUUAGAGUACAAAUGUUCCUGUGAAAAUCAGAUGACUGAGAUUGCAUGAAUGUGGUAAUGCGGCAUAAUCCAGACCAAAGAGGUCCAAAAUUAUAGUAGUGUAACUUAAAUUAAGAUGGAAAAGGGU